UGGAUCUUGGAGUUUUCUUAUUUAUG
rnacentral:piRNA from 1 species